AGAUUGAACGCUGGCGGCAGGCCUAACACAUGCAAGUCGAGCGGUAGAGAGGUGCUUGCAUCUCUUGGGAGCGGCGGACGGGUGAGUAAUGCCUAGGAAUCUGCCUAGUGGUGGGGGAUAACGUUCGGAAACGGACGCUAAUACCGCAUACGUCCUACGGGAGAAAGCGGGGGACCUUCGGGCCUCGCGCCAUUAGAUGAGCCUAGGUCGGAUUAGCUAGUUGGUGAGGUAAUGGCUCACCAAGGCGACGAUCCGUAACUGGUCUGAGAGGAUGAUCAGUCACACUGGAACUGAGACACGGUCCAGACUCCUACGGGAGGCAGCAGUGGGAAUAUUGGACAAUGGGCGAAAGCCUGAUCCAGCCAUGCCGCGUGUGUGAAGAAGGUCUUCGGAUUGUAAAGCACGUUUAAGUUGGGAAGAAGGUUGUAAACCUAAUACGUUGACAACUUUGACGUUACCGACUAGAAUAAGCACCGGCUAACUUCGUGCCAGCAGCCGACG
rnacentral:rRNA from 1 species